rnacentral:rRNA from 1 species
CCUACGGGUGGCAGCAGUAGGGAAUCUUCCACAAUGGGCGCAAGCCUGAUGGAGCAACACCGCGUGAGUGAAGAAGGGUUUCGGCUCGUAAAGCUCUGUUGUUGGAGAAGAACGUGCGUGAGAGUAACUGUUCACGCAGUGACGGUCUCCAACCCGAAAGUCACGGCUAACUACGUGCCAGCCGCCGCGGUAAUACGUAGGUGGCAAGCAUUAUCCGGGUUUAUUGGGGGUAAAGCGAGCUCAGGCGGUUGCUUAGGUCUUAUGUGAAAGCCUUCGUGUUAACCGAAGAAGUGCAUCGGAAACCGGGUGACUUGAGUGCAGAAGAGGACAGUGGAAUGUGAUGUGUAGCGGUGGAAUGCGUAGAUAUAUGGAAGAACACCAGUGGCGAAGGCGGCUGUCGGGUCUGCAACUGACGCUGAGGCUCGAAAGCAUGGGUAGCGAACAGGAUUAGAUACCCCUGUAGUC